rnacentral:rRNA from 1 species
GUGUCAGCAGCCGCGGUAAUACGGAGGGGGCGAGCGUUGUCCGAAUUUAUUGGGCGUAAAGCGCGUGUAGGCGGAUGGGAAAGCCUGGGGUGAAAGGUUGGAGCUCAACUCCAUACAGUGCCCUGGGGACUUCUUGUCUGGAGGCAGGCAGGGGAUCGUGGAAUUCCUGGUGUAGCGGUGGAAUGCGUAGAGAUCAGGAAGAACACCCGUGGCGAAGGCGGCGAUCUGGGCCUGUGCUGACGCUGAGACGCGAAAGCGUGGGGAGCGAACGGGAUUAGAUACCCCGGUAGUCCACGCUGUAAACGAUGGAUGCUCGGUGUCGGGGGUAUCGACCCCCUCGGCGCCCAAGGUAACCCGGUAAGCAUCCCGCCUGGGGAGUACGGCCGCAAGGUUGAA